CAGCAGCCGCGGUAAUACAGAGGGUGCGAGCGUUAAUCGGAUUUACUGGGCGUAAAGCGUGCGUAGGCGGCUUCUUAAGUCGGAUGUGAAAUCCCUGAGCUUAACUUAGGAAUUGCAUUCGAUACUGGGAAGCUAGAGUAUGGGAGAGGAUGGUAGAAUUCCAGGUGUAGCGGUGAAAUGCGUAGAGAUCUGGAGGAAUACCGAUGGCGAAGGCAGCCAUCUGGCCUAAUACUGACGCUGAGGUACGAAAGCAUGGGGAGCAAACAGGAUUAGAUACUCCUGUAGUCCCUGUCUCUUAUAC
rnacentral:rRNA from 1 species